UACGUAGGGUGCAAGCGUUAAUCGGAAUUACUGGGCGUAAAGCGUGCGCAGGCGGUUAUAUAAGACAGAUGUGAAAUCCCCGGGCUCAACCUGGGAAUUGCAUUUGUGACUGUAUAGCUAGAGUACGGUAGAGGGGGAUGGAAUUCCGCGUGUAGCAGUGAAAUGCGUAGAUAUGCGGAGGAACACCGAUGGCGAAGGCAAUCCCCUGGACCUGUACUGACGCUCAUGCACGAAAGCGUGGGGAGCAAACAGG
rnacentral:rRNA from 1 species